rnacentral:rRNA from 1 species
UACGAAGGGGGCUAGCGUUGUUCGGAAUUACUGGGCGUAAAGCGCGCGCAGGCGGCUAUCUAAGUCAGUGGUGAAAGCCCGGAGCUCAACUCCGGAACUGCCAUUGAAACUGUUUAGCUUGAGGUCGAGAGAGGUGAGUGGAAUUCCCAGUGUAGAGGUGAAAUUCGUAGAUAUUGGGAAGAACACCGGUGGCGAAGGCGGCUCACUGGCUCGUUUCUGACGCUCAGGCACGAUAGCGUGGGGAGCAAACAGG